CAGGUAGGACACAGGUAAGACACAAGUAAGGCAUGGCUAAGACACAGGUAAGACACACGUUCACAGUUAAGACACAACUUCACAGGUAAGACACACGUAAAUCACACAGCUUCACUGGUAAGACAAAGGUAAGACACAGAUAAAACAGAGGUAAAUCACAGUUAAGUCACAGCUUUACAGGUAAGACAUGGGUAAGUCACAGGUAAGACACAGGCAAAACACUGCUUCACAGGUAGGACACAGCUUUACAGGUAAGACACAGCUUUACAGGUAAGACACAGGUAAGACACAGCUUUACAGGUAAAACUUUGGUUAGUCAAAGGUAAAUUACAGGUAAGAUACAGCUUCUCAGGUAAGAAAUGGCUAAGUCAUAGGUAAGAGACAGCUUC